CUAGGAAUGAAAGUAAGGUAUUUCU
rnacentral:piRNA from 1 species